GGGACGAACGCUGGCGGCGUGCUUAACACAUGCAAGUCGAGCGGAAAGGCCUUUCGGGGUACUCGAGCGGCGAACGGGUGAGUAACACGUGAGUAAUCUGCCCAUCGCUUCAGGAUAGCCAUCGGAAACGGUGAUUAAUACUGGAUAUGACAUUCCUUCGCAUGUUGGGGUGUGGUAAAGUUUUUUCGGCGGUGGAUGUGCUCGCGGCCUAUCAGUCUUGUUGGUGGGGUAAUGGCCU
rnacentral:rRNA from 1 species